CGGUCAAAUAAUCUACUCUUAGGGUACUGGCCAUGCCCGAGAUGUUGAAGCUGAUAUGAAACUGAGCGCCGUGUUCACCUACAAAUUUACCUAAUAGCGGAUCGUCGCUGCUAGCCGUAUGGGAAAUGUCAGCGCUAGUGGUAGGAGCAAUACUACCAUCAAGUUUGGUUGGCAUUGGUGUGACUAGGCUUGUCUUGCUCUAACAUGCUCAUCACCAGCUCUUGGUCAUCAGAGCAUUACUCAAUCUCUCUGGGGAUACAUAGUCGUACAGGAUAUCGCACACAAUGUCUACUUUUGAUGGUUACGUAUACUUUCCAGUUGGGAGUGCUGAGUGGGAGUGCUGAGUGCUACCAUCUGGUAAACGGUACACGCAAUGCAAUUAACCUACGCUCACGGCAUGAUACCUCUAAAACCAUCACAUGUUCCCAUCGACUUAGAAAGCUUUUCGAGUAGGUUGGGGUCAGCUUUAGUGUAGUAUGUACAUUCUGUGGCAGCUAGUACAGACAAAAGCAAGACCAUUGUUUUUGUACAAUGUCUGACAGUAGACAUACAGUAGACAUUGUAUGUCUAUUUUUUUUCCGCUCAACAAUUUCUUGCUGAGUUUCGUUACUCCUCUUACGAGAUGUAGAUUGCUUAUUAGCAUUUUUACGUACAGCAAUCUGAGGUUCGGUCUCAUUAGCUCUAGCGUGAGACAGCGUCAUCCGUCUCAUUAGCUCUACGUGUGUGCAGUGUUCUUAGUUCUACGUACAAUACUUUGAGGCUUGGGGCUCUAGCUUGAGACGUGUGUGCAGCAUCCUUAGUUUUUGCUCUAGCUUGAGACGUGUGUGCAGUUCUACGUACAAGAAUCUGAGGCAUUAUCUCUGAGGCAUUAUCUCUAGCUUGAGACGUUCUACGUUGCAGUCUGUGUUCUUAGCUCUACUUACAACAGUCUGAGACAUGGAUCGGGUAUUGUAGCAUUUACACACAACAGCAUGGAUUUUUCGCUUUACGCAAUAGUCAGUCGCUAAUGAAACAGUGGGUCAGUCAGUAGUCUAGUCUGUGAGAUAUAAGUAUUAAAAAGUAUUAAAGACAGAAUUCAAGCAGUCUAAAAGGUAUUCUGGUAUACAUAAAGUUUGCCUUUAGUCUCCAAUGACUGUGGUGCUCCAAUGACUGGUGCCAAAAAAGGUUUGUGUGUGUGUGUGUUCGUGUGGUUUGUGUGUUUUAUGUGUUUUAUAAAGAGCACACUCUUGAGCCAAAGUCAUGGAUAUGGAUAUGGAAGAGCCAACAAAAACUAUUGCAAAUAUGUUGUACAUAAAUUGAAAUUGUGAGCGUGUCACAUUUUUUGGUCCAUCAGUAUAUGCCUAGGCAUUCACAUGACAGAGAGUUGUUUUUGAGAAAUGGAACUGUUGUGAGUUUGAAAUGCAAAACUGAAAAACUGAUCCAAAUUCACUAGGUAUGUAACAUGACUCAUAUGAAUCAUGAUCUACUUAUACUAGAUCCAAUUAUUUACUAGGUACAUGUAUGUAUUCUUUGUGCAUUAGGCCAGUUAUUAGUGAGCCUUCAAGACUCAGAGUAGAUCAAGCUAGGCACCGACAGGGAAAUUUGAGAAAGGGGGGGCUGCGCCAGAAAUCAAUGUUCUGCGACUGGAAACCACACCUCAUAAUUAAUGACUCAUGACUCAUUUUGAAUGAUUUAUGAUGUUACAAUUUGUAAUAACAAUUAAUAUGCAAUUAAUACUUUGCAUCAGUACUCAGGCUGGCAGGUGUUUCAUUAACUCAUUGUUUAAUUAUGCAGUGUCACUGUGUAUAGACACUGUAUAUAAUUAUCAACUAUUUUGAUUGUCAGGAGUACUUCUUACAACUAACAUGCUCAAGGCAUGAUGAAACGGGGAAAACAUUUGUUAGUUACAGUACCGUACCGUCCAUAAUAAAGCUACUGUUACUGUUCAAAUAAUUAUGAUCUCAAUACCGCCUCAUCUACAACUUACAUCUACAACUUUUUGUUUCCACAGAACGCAUCUAUCCGCUUAAACAUUUUGUUGACAUAAUUAUUCUGUAAGUUUAGAUUCCGUAUUAUGCUGCCAUUCCACAAAAUGUAAAUGCCUCAAAAAUGUCGCUCUAUACAGGUAUUACAGGUUUAAGCAUACACGUUUAAGCAUACACACACACCAACCAUAGUUUUUAGUGUCUGUAAGUUUUUGCAGGGGGGUCAAAUUUUUUUUUUGCCAAUUUUGCUCAAAAGCAAAGCUAUAGCUGUGCGUUGUCCUCGAGAACAAACCGCUUACAAGAGGACUGCGCUUACAAGAGGACUGACUUUAAAACUGGCGAAAAUAAAAUUUGACCACUAAAAACUAGGAGUCUGCAAGAGAAAAUCCAAUUAGUGACCUUAAUUAGCUAAGAUCAAGUAGCAUAAUUUUGAGACAUUGAGCCAGCACAAGUAUUAGCAAUUUUUACUAAAUGUUGGUGGAAAGUUAAAGCUCAAUAGCACGACCUUUACACGUCCUUCUGUCCACGUCGUGGUAUUUCUAAGAUUUCUUUCACCAAUAAGAAAAUUAAGAAGCGUCUGUGAUGUUGCAGUAUAAUUCUCGUGCGGUUAUGAUUUCAUACGUAGUACCGCCCACCGCGGAACCAUUUUUUAAAGUACUUCGCCCUUAGCAGUACUUUGCUAAGCUUCGCCCUUAGCAAAAAAAGCUGCGUAGCUUCGAAACCGUAGCAGUUUUCUUGGGCAACUUUGUAGCUACUCUAUCAGGAUCUCCUGGAUUCAGCCAAGGCCACAGCGAAGGAUCAUUUUAGAGGAAACUUUCUAUCAAACUAGUCUACGCCAGUUACUCAGUCAGGAUCUCUUGGUUUCCAAUGGAACAGUCAACCAGCUGAGGCCACAGCGAAGUCAGAGCAAAGAAGGUUCAUACCUUGGAAACAGUACCAGUUCUCUGGGCAACUUCGUAGUAAACUAGCCAGUAUCUCCUAAGUUUCGGAACAGUCAGCGAAGGACAAGGGUACCCCCUCAUCUGGUCUCCUCUAUCAACGCCACCCAUCAACCGAUUGUAGCACUGAGGGCAUGGUACAGCGAUCUUCUCUCCUCGCAGAGGCCGUGGACAUUACACUUAUUAUCCUCAUCAAAUAAUCUCCUCUGAAAAAGGCCAGGUACACUACAUGUCUACAUGAUGUAGUCUCAUGAAUCAGCCUGGUCCGACAACCUACUUUUUAAAUCUUGUAAGCACAUCUCAUGAAUCAGCCUGGUCCGACACUGGGUGAAAUCUUCUCCUGAAAUCUAAUCUUAUUGUAAUCUCAGUGGUCAUUUGAGUGUACUGCACCUGUACUGCACAGGCUAGCCUGAGAGUUUCUCCACAUGCACAGGAACAGAAAGGUACUAUUAGGAUAACAGUAUCAUUAUUAUAUUAUGUACACAUCUCAGAAUCUGAAACUAGCAACCCUCCAUUUCACCUCGAUCUUUCACUUGGAAACGUAAAGUUACGUAUGAAUUGCUUUAUGGUAGCAGUUUCGAUGUGAUCUCUCUCAUGCGGUCAGUGUCAACUGCCUGCUUGCCUCGGGAUAUGAUGUUGCUGAUGUGAUUUCUACUAUGGACAUCCUGGAAAUUCUAUAGAAACGAUAGAGAAGUCUCCAAUCACCUGGCCACAGAAUAAGGAUAAGUUCAUAAGCCUGAGGAUAAAAUGCCAAACAGAAUGCAUAGUACGGAUAGUGACACAGAGUUUGCUUGUAUCACAAAGAAAGUGAGACGCAGCAUUUCUGCCUGGAAUCAAUCAAGUGAAACAUUUGAGACUCACUUCUCGUAUGUGUGACGUGCAUUGCAUGUCAAACAAGAAUUCACCUGCAGCCCAGUAGAAUCACACGUUACCAAGUGCAAAAUACUCAUGAAUGGAGGAGGUACUUUGGCAGCGUUUUCAGUGUCCACUGCUCAGUCAUUAGAACUGCUCAGUCAUUAGACACUGACUCAGAACAUUCUACGAAGCACACGCCACCUGACUGACUACUCUCUCAACGAGCAAACACCUGAACGUUCUGCCUACUCUCUCAACGAGCAAACACAUGCCCACCCUCUCAACGAGCAACCACCUGAACGUUUUGCCUACCCUCUUGCCUACCCUCUCAAUGAGCAACCACCUGAACUACCCUCUCAAGGAGCAACCACCUGAACGUUUCGCCUACGCAACCACCUGCCUACGGCAGCAAUCGACAGUGCUACCUGAAGACAUCAAAGCUCAGAAUUUUGAAGAGGCCCCUCUCUUCCGUACGAUAUAAAGGAGCACAAUGUUUCCGUUAUGGUAGGCACAAGAGAAAAUUAGAGACUGUACAAAUCUGUCCAGAUCAAACUAACUUUUUCAAUGAAAUUGAUCAACUCACCACUGAAAAACAAAAAGUUACAACACUUACUCAGAAAUAACGACUAUGAAAUGUCACCUGACUUACUCAAUAAAAAAAUGCCACCACAUGGGCGACACUGUUUAUUUGCCUAUGAUUUUUUACAACAGAACUGGGAGUUCCGCCAAAACUUAGAACCUUUAAACCCCUUUUUUGACACUCUUGUACUAUGCACCGUAACAUGAUGUGCUCAGUGGUAAACUUGUUAUCAGUUCCAAAGCAUGCUAAGCAGAAUGGUGGAAUGUUCACAGAUAACGGUUUAGCCAUUGUUUAUACAUAUGCAUACCUAGCCUCUAUAGCCUCUCUAUAGCCUCAAAUGAAACAGCCAAGAAUUUGGGAAGGCGAACAAAACCAACGCACCCGGGAUAUUACUCUAGUCAUUUAGCAAUAUGUUCAUUGACUGCAAUGCAGGUCUAAAUGUAAUGUAUUGUUGGACCUAGCCAAGUUCCUGGCACCCAUGGUUUUGCUUACAAAGGCCUAGCCUACGUCCAAGAUAUUGUCCACAUCGGAGUGAAAUUAAAGUGCAGACUUCUCUACCAAUGGGUAGUGCCAUAUUACGAACGGUAAAGUUACGGGAAAAAGACAUCAUCUGUUACCUGAUACAAAACAGUACACUAAACACUUAAUGCACAUUCUCUCGAUUCGAAAUGAGCACCCUGAUUCGUUUUUGCCACCAUGUGUAGAACAGCACGAAGUAUGAAUAGCAUGUUUUCAAAUGUUAUCAAGUUUGGGAUGCUGGGUUUGUUAAGACGUGUACAUCGGUAGAAUCCAACAUUGAAGCAAAAAGUGGUACAAACUCUCUCUCUCUCUCUCUCGCACCUCAUUGUUCAGUGAAAUCACUGAUACUGACAUAGCCAAGGCUAUAGUCAGAUCCAAGACUUCAGCAUUCUCUUCCUGAAUCAAACUCGAAGGAAACGAGUGAGGAACAAGGAACCUUUUUCUUCUGACAGUGUCACACUUCUAAAGAAUUAUAGUGUUGAAUCAUAGAUACUAUAAAUUACAUGGAUAUGAAACGACCGUAGUUUACGGUUAGUAUGCGGACUUUUUCUGGGACACUCAUUUCAAGAUUUACAGAGUUUUUAAAAAGAGCUACAGCUCUACUUGUUUCUGUUUAAUUUGCAGUGAUUUUCAACUAACUCUACAACCACCAACCACCUGUCAGAAGUAAGUUUUAUCAGUGAUUAGCUCACUCAGUGCGUUUUACAGCUGAUUAAUCAGGCUCGUUUAGCGCGUGUUUCAACCUUUGUGACUGCGCAGUGCUGAGUUUAUUUUAUAUGAAGCAGUUAGCUAAUAUAUAUAUUUAUGUCUUCCAUAUGGUUUGUUUUGUAUAAGGCUGUGACUUCUGGAUAAAUUAUCAUAAUUUGUGCUGCAAAGUAGGUCUCUUUGUGUCACUUGUGUCACUUGAUAUAUAUGCCUACAAUUAUUUUUAUCAGCCAGUUCAAAGGCAUCUUUAUGUCUUGCAAAAGGUUUUAGUUGUCUCUAAAUAUUGCUAGAAAUCAAUAAAAUGUACUAAAGAUUUCUCGCCUUCAAAUAAGCUGAUAAUUGCACAUGGGCUUAUACAUGUUUGUUUUCUUUACAGCCUGAUUAUGCCCAAAAAGGAGUUCGGGCUUUCUUUGAGCGACGUAAAUACCCAACAAAAACAACUACCAUCAGAGAAGAAAGUACAGAGGCGGCAGAGCAAUUUACCAUUUGCUCGCUUCACUUGCUUGCCUAUGGUUGGGGCCGACAUACAAAGUCGAGAAAGAUCCACCUGUACAAGUGAAGAAGUCUGUAUUAGUGAAAGAAAAAGAAGAUCUUACGUGGAUAGUCUUUUACAAUACCAAGCAGCUAGAUGCAGUUUACUAAAAGAUGUCCAUUCAACCCUAUUAAGAGUGAUUGAUACUGCUGUUCUUUGUCCUGGGAAUCCUGAGGCGCAUUUUGUAACACUCUGCACGAAAAGACGUGGAGAAGACAAGGCGCUAGUUGAGCAGAGGCCAGGUGCAUACUUCUACGGUGAGAACAGUAGACUGUGAGUAGUUAUGUAGCAGAAGGAGUGCCAAUCCCACCCGAUGUUCCAAGUGUCAGAUAUUACCAGAUAUUACGGCCAACGCUUAGGAGUAGUCUGUCUCGAUCAAAUCAUUCUGAUGAGUUACUACGUACCUCCUAGCUCUCAAGAGAAAACUGUCCGUCUCAAGAAUAUGCACACGUCCUUGACUUCACUGAAGAAGAAAAAUAAGCGAAUUCAGCUCAAAGUGCACAUACUUGAGAAAGAAGCUGUCUCUCUCCACCCUGAGCAGUCUACUGAUAUAAGUGAUCUCAUCUCUGAAUUAAACCCCACUGUUGAACAGUAGUUUCCCCCAGACUCACCCCAGCACAUCUUUUGGGAGCAGCAACGUCGUCGGUUCAAAGAGAAACGCCAAAUGAAAUGGCAUCCACUGGAAUCCACUACUUAUUCGGUUUGCUCUUAAUUUAAAAUACCUCUCAUCAAAUGCCUACCGAGCUAAGUCAGGUAUGAUCGCUUUGCCUUCCGAGAGAAGUUUGUUUGAUUACACCCAUUGGGUCACACCACACACUGGUGUUCAGUGCGAUCGAUGGAGUCUGAGCUAUCGUCAAAGCCUCAUCACAUCGCUUUGAGCAUGGAUGAAAUGAAGAUUAAAAGUGGCACACUGGUACUUCGACUGGCUUUGUAGACUUGGGUGAAGUGAAUGCAGAUUCUCACAACGCUACAGAGAGCCUUUGCCUUUAUGGCCAGAGCUGUAUUUAAACCUGCUCACUACUUCAGCACAGGACAAAUCUAUCAGCUGAGAAGAUAUUUCCGAUGGCUUGGGAUGUGAUAGAUACCCUUGAGCUGUAUGAAUUGCCUGUGACAUCUCUGACUAGUGAUGGAGCGCAACAAAAUAGGCGAUUUUACCACCUCUGUGUCUAAGUCAUUUGAAUUUUGAUCGAAGCGAUCAUGCGUGUGUUUAUUAUUCUACCGCCCUCAUGGAGAACUGAUCGGUUGGAAGACCAUUGAAAGUUUGUACCUUAGUGAGACUACUACGUCGACUAUGGGAGUUAGACUCUGCCACAAGCACCAUGUGUGGCUAACGUCCCAUAACCGCAUGCGUGUAUACUUGGCAGCAGGGUCAUUUGUUCCUGUGUAUAUGAAUUAUAUCAUUUUUUUACCAUGACAUAGCCUGGAAUAUAUGAACCGUGACACAGAGCUGUUUAUCAGGAUUGUGGAUCAAUUCUUUGACUAUUUAAAUGUCAAAAACUCAAAGUUGUGUGACGCAGGGCACCGUAUAAGAACUCACGAGAUGAGCGCUUGAAGUGGCUUUCUGGAUACUUCAUUGACGAUUGGGAUCAGCCAGCAGAACUGAACUGACCCCGAGCCAAAGACAAAAAAUGUGUUUAAGCGCACCAACCAAGGAGGGAAUGAAAUUAAGUCAGUUGUUGCAGUGCGUAGUCAUAGAUACUAUAAUGUGUGAUAUGAUAACUUAAUUUUGUGUUACCAAAGUUACCAAAACUACCAGGAGCUAACUAUAUUCUAAGUGAAGUCUUCUCUUUGGAACGCUACUUUUCCAAACAGCGACAGUAGCAACGAGAACCCAUUGGUGCCAUUCAAUGCCUCAACGCAGAGCACUAGGAUCACUAGGAUGUCAAAACUAUGAAUGUCACAAGAGAAUGUCACAAGAGAGGACUCAGCAGACAAGCUUGCGGAACCACGACGACGUAUUAACACACCUGUUCUUAAAUUUUAGUGCCAUGCUUAAUUUGUAUAAUUAUAUAAUUGUACAUUGAAAUUUUCAUGUAAAUAUUCUAAAUGAUGCCACUGUGCAUAGAAUUAUGUGCAUAGAAUUAUCAUGAAAAAAGAGCAAGUUAAUUAUUCCUUUAGAGUAUCGUUUCACAAAGUUCAUAGUCCAGCCUUUGGCAGCCACGUACUGUAGUCCACAAGAACUCAAUACUGUACUUCUCGUACUGUAGAGGCUCUCCCACUGCUCAAGAAUGGACUCACUUUGCAGCACCUCAUGAAUGAUUGCGCUUACGGCUGUGAGUAGGAUACUUCCAAAUGACACCAUCUCAAUCGAUUCAAAAAGUCGAGCCACUUCAUUACUAAUGUGGAACAGCCCACCUCUGUCAACCAAAUUUGACCAUGUUCUAGUGUAGUCAGCAAGAGAGUCAAUAUCACCAGGUUGAUGUGAUGCCAGGUUGAUGUGAUGCUUUCAUCUUGGAUAGGACCUGAACAAAUAAAUCGUUUUUCUUCUGUAAAGCCACUUUCUUUGUGGACCGCUUGUUGUACUUUUUAAGAAGAGAUGCAGCCCUGCCAUGUACAUCACAGCAUUCUGUUCCAUCUGGUUCAAACCGGAGCAUCGCAAGCCUUGAUAAGGGCUUUCAGGAGCCUGUCCAUUAAUAGCUGAAGAAGGAGUCGCGAUUCAUCGAGAGUAAUGUUGUUGUGUCAUGAAGGCGUUCCAAAUAAAAAAAUUGUUCUCGUCGGAAUUCCUUAUUGUAUGAAAUUGUUUCUUUGAGACGUGGAUGGCUUUGAGAGGUGGAUGGGAGCUUAAAGUGUUUCCCUUCAGCAACACACGAGCCAACUUCUGGUGAGGUAAGGCUACCUGGGAAAUAGCAACUUGUACUUUUCGACCUCGGGGUGAUCUUUGGAUUGCUUGUUCUUCUCUCAAGUUACUUGUGAAGUAACGACAGAAAACCUUCACCCUUUUCAGGAACUGCAACAGUGUCCUACAAAGAACAAUCUGUAGGUAUAAAGGAGAAUAGGUGACCUGACUAUAAAUAUUGUGUAGCUAGAUCUAUACAUAACUUGCAAUAGUGGAUCUAGAUCUGGGAAUCAAGAUGAUAUCAGAGCAUCAUUUUCAACCAAGACUUCAUCAAAACUCUGGUCUAAGCUUGUGUCUAAGACGCUACUAACAGCCAUUUUUAAUUCUUGAAGUAUACGGAAUAUCGUAUACUAGUCCGUUACAUCCGAGCGGAAACUACCGUCGUUUCAUAUCCAUGUAAUUUAUAGUAUCUAUGGUUGAACCUUGGAGACAUGUGUGUUUUUGAAACGGAUAAUAAAAUAAUGGUCAAUACCUUGAUUUAAGGCGACCCUCCAAAUAUGCGACACCCAGGAGUUUCAGCAAUUUUCUGACCUCUAAAAGCUGCACUGACAAUUAUUUUUUAAUGUCGCAUCCAAAAUAACUGACUACUUUAAAGUUGCAACAGAAGAGGAGAUUAGACAGGCUGCCAUUUGGCAGUUGGGAGGCCAAGAAAAAGCACUGUGCAUAACCUGCAGCUACUGGUAGUGUAUUUAGCAAUGUGAAUGACAGUGGUAGUGGAGCAGGGGCCGUGGGUAGUGAAGAAGGAUCUGAAACUUGUAAGUACCUGUCUGUAGUGUUGAAUUGUAAAUUGUAAGAACUAAGUAACUGCGGGUAGAUCAUCUGAGUCAGUCUCUCUAUGCAACAAUUAAAUUAUUCCUGUAGGUGAGCCAGCUCCGGCUCCAAAGAUUCAUCGAAGAUAUUCUUAUUCACAGAUUGCUGAUUACGCCAGGAUGAACGGCCUGAGACCUGCAGAGAAAAAGUAUGGUGUGCAUCGGAGGAAUAUAGAUCGAUGGAAAAAAAUUAGAGUUAGUGAGUUUAGUAAACAAGAGCUAAAAAAGUCCUUCAAUAGAAAGGGCCAAGGAAGGAACCUCUACUAUCCAACGGUUGUAGAUGACGAGCUUGUGCAAUGGGUGCUGGAAAUGCGUGACCUUCAAUUGGCUGUUAGUUCUGAAAUGAUGAAGAAGAUUCGCACAUCACACAUGACCCGUUGGAAAUCGUCGCAUAGCACAUAGUACAUAGCGCGACCACCGUAGCUAUGGCCCGUGUGUAUUGAGCCAACAUUAAAAUUUAAUAGCCAAGGCCAAAGUUGUAAUCACCCCUCACUGUGCUACAUUUGCAGCGUCCAAUGGGUGGCUUGAGAAAUUUUUGAGGCGACACUGUCUUGUUUUUCGUCAGAAAACUCCCAAAGAAUUUGGAAGAGCAUAUUGAAAAGUUCUCGCAUGACAUAAGAAAGCUCAGAGAAAAGACAGAUGUUCCCAAUUGCUAGCGUCUUGGCAAUAUGGAUGAGACUCCAGCCUAUUUGUGCCUGGGAAAACGAUUCACAAAAAAGGAGCCAGAACCAUUAAGAUUAGGACAACUGGGGCAGAGAAACGUCAUCUAACAGUUGUGCUCACUUGCACUGCUGAUGGAGGGGUUUUUGCCUCCGAUGAUUAUCUUCAAAGGGGAAAACAAAUCGUACCAUCAAUAAGCUAAUCGUUCCAAAGUAUUUUGUUGUUGUAACCCAGCCGAAGGCUUGAAUGGAUGAUCCGCUCAUGUUGAGUGACGAGAUUUGAAUGCCGGGUUAUACCGAGUCCAUUCUUUGCCUGGACUCAUUUAGAGCACAUAUCUCUGCAUCCACUGAUGGAAAGCUCAGGACCAACAAUGUACAUGCCUCUGUUAUUCCGGGUGGGUGCACUUCUAUACUUCAAUGUUUGCUUGAACAAGCCUUUCAAAUCACAGGAAUACAUGCUAAGCAAGAUAAGGAUAAUCCAAUAGGCAAGAUUCCUUCCCCAAGUCGCCAACUUAUUGUUAAUUGGGUGGAUGGAAGAAUAUAAAAAUUAGGAAGGAGGCAAUUGCAAAAUCGUUUAAUGCUUUUGGGACAUGGGAGGAAAAACUCGUACGAAAUGAUGACCUAAAAAAUGAAAUCGAUGAUCCAUUUGAUGACGUUUCCAGUGAUCCGGAUUCCAGUGAUGGUUUGGACUGCUCUGAAUGUUCCUUCCUAGCUGGAGAAUGGUCAGAAAUUGACAGUGAUUUCUGCUUGAACUUAUCAAGCUCAUGCAAGAUCAUUUAUUAUUAUAAUACAGUAUCAUGUGUUUCACAUAAUUAUUAAUCAUACAGUGCAACGAGUAGAUUUUUUUUUAUAUCACAUUUUGUGGCAUAUCUUCUAAGUGAUGUGAUCUAUUUGAGUGCAGGUACUGAAAGUUCAAUUAUUGGCGGUCCUAAGUGAUAUGAUCUAUUUGAGUGCAGGUACUGAAAGUUCAAUUAUUGGCGCUUCCAUUGGACCACCACCUGUUACAUCAUAUGACAUCAUCACUAUGAAAUGGCUGUCUGAAGAUGUGUACCUCCGAAAAUAUGUUAGGAAUAGAAGUAGCUUAUUUGUUUGAGUUAAGAUCUGAAAUUUGUUGUGCAUGU